rfam:Lupinus angustifolius cultivar Tanjil contig_22456, whole genome shotgun sequence.
AGGUGCGAUCAUACCAACACUAAUGCACCGGAUCCCAUCAGAACUCUGCAGAUAAGCGUGAUUGUGCGAGAGUAGUACUAGGAUGGGUGACCUCCUGGGAAGUCCUCGUGUUGCACCUC